GAAUGCACGCGAGAUGUUCGAGCUUUUGCCCGACCGCCGAUUCGUGGGUCUAAGCUGACACCGACCGCGGCAUCGUCCGCGCCUCCCCUUCCCCUCCCGCGGUCAGGUGCUGUUCUCCUCCAUGCCGCGGACCUUUCGGCAGUCUUUUCUUCUUCUUCUUCUUCUUUUCCUGAGCUUUAAGGAAGAAUCGAGGGUGGAAAAAGAAGGGGAGAAAUCCGAGUCUCAUUCCCCACCUCCUGCUGUCUCUCAAAAUUUUCAGAUGGGGGCGAUGACGCGAGAUGGACCACUGGUUAGUGUUUCUUGUUAAAAUAAUAUUAAAUAUCUGUAGCUUUCUUUUUUCUUGUCAUGUUCUUAUCAUUUUAUUUUAUAAUAAGCAAAUUCUUAAAAAAAAAUCCAAAGUUUUAUUUUUUUUAUUUUACAAAAAAAAAACCCUCAGUUUGAUUUAUUCCCGUAAAAUAUUUUUUAUUUAUUUUUAUAAUAAGCUCUGUCUUCCAUCGUCACGUCUCCCUCCUAUCGUCCUCGUCGACCUUGGCGAGGGAGAAGGAGAUGGUCUCGAUGGAAUUUCCCCUCCUCUCCUCUCCUCUAUAGCCCCCAUACUUAUUGGAUAUAAAUAUCUUUAGAAAUUAUCUAUAUAUUUAUUAUAUAUAUUUUUAAUUUAAGUAUUUAAUGAAAUAUUAAAGGUUUUUAUUUUAAAUGUUUUUUGAAACUCACUACUCACCACAAUUAAUUAAUUAAUGAUAUAACCUGAAUUUUUUUGAUGAAUACUAACAGGAGUGACAUAAAUGUUCGAAUAAAUAAAUGAAUAAUUAUGGUCUAAAUAUUUGGAGGGAUGCAUAUAAUAUGUUUGGUAUGUAAAAGCCUCAUUGUAUUUACUAUUAUUUGGACAACGUUAUGGCCAUGUUGAAGCCACGCAACAUGGACAAACAAUUCAAUCACUUUCAACAACAGUGUUCUGUAAGAAAAGGAUGUGAUUUCCUUUUCAUGCAGGAAGCAUGACUUUAGCCUUAGUUCUCACUUUAUAGCCAAAACAAUUUUGUUUGGGGAGUUUGAAGCAACAGAUGUUUCAAUCAUUAUUAUGAUUGCAACAGAUAUCUGUCAGUGCUGUAUAUGAUCAUAAAUUGUUCUUAGUUUUUGUGAUUGUUCAUCUGCAACCAAUGCUACAUGUACAUAUACAUAUACAAUACAUAUACGUUGUGAAUAUGUUUUGUAGUGUUGAUGUCAAUGUGGAAUCUAUGAAUUUAUGACCCAUGUGGAAUCCAUGUCAUCAUCACCUCAUGAAUUUGCAUGUGUAGUGAUAAGCUAAUCAUAAAGGAAAACUUGCAUGUUUAUAUGUUUGAUUUUUUUGUAUUUAUCCCUUUAAAAUUUAAAGUUGAUUGUUGUAGAAAUGGUUAUUUAUAUGAUAAAUAAGUUUUAAUAUGUAAUAGUGCCCUUUAAAAUUCACUAUGUUUCUAAAAUCAUAAUAUAUUUUAUUUUAUUUUAUAUAUUUUUAAACUUAAAUAAAUAAAUCCAUCUUAUGUGUAGAUAAGAUUAAUAAUAUGUAAAUUGAUAGAGUGUAAAAAUCUUUUUUCUAGAAGAAAAAUUGAAUGCCAUUUUAGCUUCCCUAAUUUGAUACAUAGACACUAAAAUUGUUUGCCAAGACAUUUUUUUUUAUUUUUCUUAAAAAAGUGGUAAACAAAUUACCACGUGGCCAUAUAUCUUCCUUAAAAAAUGGAUAACUUUUAGAGUAGGCAAUGUUUGCCUUUUAUGCAAUUGGUAGGCAAUGAAGGAUAGGACUUUGAUUCAAAGAUUGGAAAGCAAGUUUCUAAUCCUUAUCCAUAGAAAAUUCCCACUUCUCAUGUCAACAUCAAGCUAGGCCAUUAAUGUGCAUUAGGUAGCAUUGCUUCACACAGUGCUACUAUACUGACAACAAUAACAAAAUAAUGAAGAUGAUGAUGAUAAUAAUAAUAAUAAUAAUAAUAAUAAUAAUAAUAAUAAUAAUGAUCCAAUGUGUGAAAUGUUUUUAUUUCUGUUAUUAAGAAAAUAAAAUUAUAGAUCAUCUAAUUGCUUAGAUAUUCAAAUGAUGGUCUUUCUUUUCGCUUGGUUUAUCUACCAAUAAAACUGCCUGCAACACUAAUUAUCUCAUCUCGUGUAUUGUUAUUGUUGUUGUUAGAUGUUGCUCAUCGAUGUUGGAAUAUGAACAUAAAAUGAGAGGCGGUCAGCAAUCAAUGUUCGCUAAUUUCUCGAUUCUUUCUAAAAACAAACACAAGAGAGGGAAGCAUUUUGCUUGUGUGUGUCAAAGAUCGACACGUUCUUUCCUGCUUCAUAUCAUUAUGCAGAUAUGGAUCUUUCUAGUUGACGAGAGAAGAUGAAGGUCAUGAUUUCAGUCUUCAGACCGUGUUUGAUGAGAGUGAAAGGAUGGAAGUUUCAAGAAAGAGGGCGAGUGAGUGAAAACGUUUAGGGUUGGGAUAGGGCUCAAAGAGUGAACUUUUGAAUCUAUUAUUGUGAAAAUUAUUUGUUGUUCUGAUUUGAG
rnacentral:lncRNA from 1 species